AUCCUCCUUACAACCCUUCUUGUAUAUGGGAGUCACACUGGACUUUCUAAUGGGAAAGAAUGGAUGUAGAAGGAGGAAAUCAGUAAAAUGAUGGUCAGCGUUUCUGGAAGUGGCCAUGAAAGCUAUGCUACAGUUUCAGCCACUACUGAGAAUCCAGCAUGUGGAUGUACUUCAGGGCUUCCUGAAAUUCAAGACUUCUGGAAAAAUUCUGAACUGGGACCUUAAAGUCACUGGCAAGGUCUUUGGACAGGGAAUAGUCUAAGCAAGCCUGGCCUGUGUGGAAAGGAGGAGAUGUAAAUACUGCAACAUCACUCAAAAAACAGAGCAGAAGCCCUAUCCUAGCUGAAACAAUCCUCUGAGACAGUGGAGUCAAUGAAGAUAUACAACUGGAUCUCCCAUAAAGUAUGGUGAAGGUUUCUAAAAGUCCCUUUCUUAGCUGUGCUAAAGAUCUUAAAAAUGAAUUACA